CCUGCCCACUGAAUUUUUUAAAGGGCCGCAGUAUUUUGACUGUGCAAAGGUAGCAUAAUCAUUAGUCUUUUAAUUGAAGGCUGGUAUGAAUGGUUGGAUGAGGUGAAUUCUGUUUUAUAUUAGUUAUAAUAGAAUUUAGAUUUUAAGUGAAAAGACUUAAAUGUAAUUAAGGGACGAGAAGACCCUAUAGAGUUUUAUAAAUGUAGUAAAUUAAUUAGGUUAUUUAAAAAUUUUUUGUUAUUAUGAAAUUUAUUUGAUUGGGGUGAUUAGAAAAUAUAAAGAACUUUUCUUUAAAUUAAAUAUUAUAAUUAGUUUAAUGAUCCAUAAUUGAUGAUUAAAAGAUUAAAUUACCUUAGGGAUAACAGCAUAAUUUCUUUUGAGAGUUCAUAUCGAAAAAGAAGAUUGUGACCUCGAUGUUGGAUUAAGAAUAAUUUUAGGUGUAGAAGUUUAGAAAUUAGGUCUGUUC
rnacentral:rRNA from 1 species